rnacentral:lncRNA from 1 species
GGGGACCCUGCGCUUGCUAUUUGACUGGAUUCUCACGGCAGCUCUCAGAAAUCUGCACCAUGACUCCGAUUUGACUGAUGGAGACCCAGAUACCCAGAGAGAUUAAGCAGCUCCGGCCAGGCCAUGGCUUACAUUCCAGCUCCCUCUCACUGGGUGACAACUGGCUCCCUCUGUCCCCCACGUGCCUUCUUCAGCUUGCUGCCUUUGCUGGGGAAGUGCCCACUCAGGACAGCUGAGGAGACGGAGCCACGGAGGUUGACAUAGGAGGUGAUGGAACAGCCAGUUUUCCUGCUGAGCCCAUCCGUAUAGACAGCCGGCAUGCAUUGAUGUGUCUCUCUCCCAGCUUCAACCCCUGUCUGCAGAGCUGGAGUCUCCGACUGUUCCCGCAUGUCCCUUCUCUGUUGUUACCUGCAGUCCAGACAAAAAUGGCAUAGUAAAAUAAAAGUUGAGAGAAUGC